ensembl:lncRNA BMS1P1 BMS1 pseudogene 1
GUCCAAGCGGACCUAAGGAGUCGCAGUUGUGAACAGGUUAGAGUUACUUGUUAUUGGUAAAUAGCCACUAUGGAGACUAAGGACCAGAAGAAACACAGAAAGAAAAACAGUGGACCCAAAGCUGCAAAGAAAAAGAAGUGGCAUCUGCAGGAUCUCCAGCUAGGAGACGAAGAAAAUGCCCAGAAGAGAAAUGCCAAUGCUUUUGCAGUUCAGUCUGCUGUGUGGAUGUCUCGAUCCUUUCACAGGACUCUGGAUUUGAAGACACAAAAGCAUCAUAUUCCAGUGGUUGAUGGAACUCCACUAGAGCCGCCACCAAUAGCGGUAGUGGUGACGGGGCCUCCAAAGUUGGAAAGAGCACUUUGAUAUAAUGCCUCAUUCGGAACUUCACCUGGCAGAAGUUCACCGAGAUCAGAGGCCCUGUGACGAUCGUGUCAGGUAAAAAGCGCAGACUCACCAUUAUUGAAUGUGGGUGUGACAUUAACAUGAUGAUUGAUCUGGCUAAAGUAGCAGAUCUGGUUGCCAAACUGUUCUACCUUUCUGGAAUGGUGCAUGGAGAAUAUCAAAACCAAGAAAUCCACAAUCUGGGCCAUUUUAUUACAGUUAUGAAGUUUAGGCCUCUCAUGGCAAACUUUUCACCCUUAUAUCCUGGCAGACAGUUAAAAGGAUGGAAGAUUUGACAAACCCGGAGGAUAUCCAAACAAACAUCAAAUGUGACCUGCAGGUGUCACUUUAUGGUUAUUUAAGAGGAGCACACUUGAAAAAUAAAAGCCAAAUUCACAUGCCAGGACAAGGUGGGGCUCACCCAUGAGCUGGUCCAGAGUCUCAUCUCCACCUACUCCACCAUUGAUGCCAAGAUGGCUUCAAGUCGAGUGAUGCUGCUUUCCAAUUCCAAACCACUUGGGUCAGAGGCUAUAGAUAAUCAAGGGUGAGUGGUGUCAUUGAGCAAACACAAAGUCGGGCUCAUCCAAGGAUGAGAUUUUGCCAGAGAAAGGACGAGCAGCAAGUCAGGGAGCUUAAGUCUAGCCAGGUGCAGUGGCUCACGCCUGUAAUCCCAGACUUUGGGAGGCCGAGGCCGGCGGAUCACGAAGUCAAGAGAUGGAGACCAUCCUGGCUAACACGUUGAAACCCCGUCUUUACUAAUAAUACAAAAAAUUAGCUGGACAUGGUAACGGGUGCCUGUAGUCCCAGCUAAUCAGGAGGCUGAGGCAGGAGAAUGGCAUGAACCCAGGAGGCAGAGGUUGCAGUGAGCCGAGAUCGUGCCACUGCACUCCAGCCUGGGUGACAGAGCAAGACUCCAUCUCAAAAAAAAAAAAAAAAAAAAUUAUGUUAAAAUAAAGGUCAUCAAAAGAUA